rnacentral:misc_RNA from 1 species
UGCUGCUGGGAGCCUUGCAACACUAGUGAAUUGGUUCGGAGCAUGGGCGUGCUCCUACACUUUCAACUUCCUCAUGACCUGGAAUUCUUUUGGUACGUUCGUUCUGUAUGCUGCAGUGAAUGCACUGUCCAUAUUAUUUGUGAUAAAAAUAGUACCUGAAACCAAAGGAAGAACUUUGGAACAAAUCCAGGCUGCUAUCAAUGCAUCAUGAAAUACCUUAGCCUUCAUCGAUUCAUCUUUCGUACUGAAAUUUACUUUAUCAGA